UACGUAGGGUGCAAGCGUUGUCCGGAAUUAUUGGGCGUAAAGAGCUCGUAGGCGGUUUGUCGCGUCUGCUGUGAAAAUCCAGGGCUUAACCCUGGACCUGCAGUGGGUACGGGCAGACUGGAGUGCGGUAGGGGAGAUCGGAAUUCCUGGUGUAGCGGUGAGAUGCGCAGAUAUCAGGAGGAACACCGGUGGCGAAGGCGGAUCUCUGGGCCGUAACUGACGCUGAGGCUCGAAAGCGUGGGGAGCAAACAGG
rnacentral:rRNA from 1 species